rnacentral:lncRNA from 1 species
CAGAGAGGCUUGAAUACCAAAAUAUGCAGAAGCAUAGACAUGGGACAUCCACGUUCCUUAUUAAGCAGAAUUCAGCUUUGAAGAUACUCUAGAGCCUGUGGGUUCAGAUCAGAUGUGAGAGACUUGGAAUCUACAUCUUCAACUGAAUGGGUAAAAUCAAAGAGCUUAUGAAAUAUGUGAGAAAUCCUACUGCAGUUUGUUCCAGACAGACAGAUGCCUAUUGGAUGGAUCAGAGUUUUGAUGCCUAG